AACUNUCAGCAACGGAUCUCUUGGCUCUCGCAUCGAUGAAGAACGCAGCGAAAUGCGAUAANUAAUGUGAAUUGCAGAAUUCAGUGAAUCAUCGAAUCUUUGAACGCACCUUGCGCCCCUCGGCCGUUCCGAGGGGAAUGCCUGUUUGAGUAUCAUG
rnacentral:rRNA from 1 species